rnacentral:rRNA from 1 species
CGGCGGACGGGUGAGUAACACGUGGGUAACCUACCUAUAAGACUGGGACAACUUCGGGAAACCGGAGCUAAUACCGGAUAAGAUAUCGAACCGCAUGGUUCGAUAGUGAAAGAUGGUUUUGCUAUCACUUAUAGAUGGACCCGCGCCGUAUUAGCUAGUUGGUGAGGUAACGGCUCACCAAGGCAACGAUACGUAGCCGACCUGAGAGGGUGAUCGGCCACACUGGAACUGAGACACGGUCCAGACUCCUACGGGAGGCAGCAGGGG